UGGAGUUUGGCAGAGGGGGGUGGAAUUCCACGUGUAGCAGUGAAAUGCGUAAAGAUGUGGAGGAACACCAAUGGCGAAGGCAGCCCCCUGGGUCGAUACUGACGCUCAUGCACGAAAGCGUGGGUAGCAAACAGGAUUAGAUACCCUGGUAGUCCACGCCCUAAACGAUGUCAACUAGGUGUUGGGAGGGUAAAACCUUUUAGUGCCGUAGCUAAC
rnacentral:rRNA from 1 species